GCCGUUUCCGUUAGUAGUCCUGCAGGACCUGCCCUUUGGAGUGGCAGCAGCAGCGAGAGGCAUGACUGCUGACCAAAUUACAUUCCCGUUACCCCCAAUAAAGACAUGACGCCUAAGUGUUGGAUAAGGGCUACGGCCACAGCUUGACUUAAUUUUAACUUUAAACAGUGCCACCAUUAUCACCACCUGUCAGCUGUUGGAGUGACUACCCAACAGACAGAUAAAACCGUAUAUUUCCACAGUUCAUACAGCCUGCCUCCCGCCAUCAGCCCUAGCAGGCUGUGACUCCUCAAAUCUUUGUCUCAGGAAUUACUUGCACUGGCCAGGAAC